GAAAUAGUGUAACCCCAAUUUUGCCAGUUGACAGAUAUGACAACACCGGUUACCACGUCACGCAGUUGUCUUGUCUGUCACAUCGCGAUAUUUUUGUGGCUCUUUUACGUUUAGGGUGUGUGCAUUCUUUAUGUGUUGUGCUACUUAUGUGGAAAAUUAGGUGAUAUUCUUCCUUUUCCCGGAUAGUGAUCCUAAACCGCCAAGAUGCCGAAAUCGAUCCUUGGUUAUUUAAGCAACGCGCUUGACAUAGGCGGCAGUGACAAUGUCUUGGUUAGUCACGGUUUUAAACAUGUAGUGUUCGGUUUUAUUUUUAAUUUGCUAGAUGAAUAGCAUGCUAGUUUGAGUUGUGAGAUUUGUAGUUUAUUUUUUGAUUUGGAGUUGUUUUU